CCGCAGUGAUGAAGGAGAUCCAAAACCAUUCGUAGUUUCCACCAGAGGUUGAAAGACCAGUGUUGGCAAAAAUACCUUCCUUGGAUGUCUGAGCGG
rnacentral:snoRNA from 1 species